GACCGCCUCCUCCGCCCGAGUCGGCAAUUACCCGCCGUCUGGACAUCCCAAGUUUUCCCGGGUUCUGAACUUCAGGAGGCGCUGUGUUGACAGCUGUUACACUGGGCCCUUCCCUGCUCACAAUCCCGACCCCAGCCACACCCUCCACCCGGUCCAGCGGAGAUUUCUGGAGUCUUCCUCCCCAGCCCCAGAGCCUGGAGCCUCAGAGUUGAUGCGGAGAGCCCUGCCUGAGGUGGGGAAUGAGAGCUGUUCACUCUGAGUACAGGAGCAGAGGACAGACUUGUCCUGGGGGCAGUUCAAUGGAGACAAGAAUGGGGAAUUGUUUGUGCACCAGAACUCACACCCAAUGACUACAAUCCUUUGCUGAAAUUCCAAAGCUCACAGGAAGAUCUAAGGGUAGAAAUUAUCCAGCUGCAAAAGGACCAUCCCGAGCAGAAAGAGCCUGGUUAGAGAACUGGUUUGGGCUGAAUUCUUGGAUGGAAACAAGAGAAAAUAUUUGGUCUGAGAGGCAAGAAGCCAGGGUGGUAAGUGCCACACUGGACUGGGAAAAGAGGCCCUGGGCUUUUGAUGGAGAUUUCAUGAGGAGGUGUUUGGGGGGGUGGGGGGAGAAGGGCAGAAACAAGGAGUUAAGUGCCUGAAUUCUGGGAAUGAAACUGAAAUUGGAGAACAUGAAAAUGGAAGAAAUAGGAAGAUCUGAUCACAAGAUAAGAGAGAAUUAGAAGUGAAAAUACUGUAUCCUGCCCACCACCACUACCUCCAAAAGAGGACUGGGGAGAUAAGGAGAAGGAAGUGAAAACUGUUCCAACUGCCUUCCCAUAAACCAUACCUAAGAUACUCUGAUUUUUUUUAUAAUUUGGAAAAAAUUCAUGCUCUGAACUUAAGACAGAUCUUGGCUGGAAACCAUCAGAAGAAGUCAAAUCAAAGUUCUAAAUCAGUGCUGUGUCUAUUUUUCCCUCUCCCAUUCUCCCAACAUCCCCACUCCCCAUGGAGACCCAGAAACACAACUCAUCAAGAUCAAAGAAAAGGGAAAAGAUUAAUACAAUGACCAGUGAGCAAAGCCUUUGAAAUGAGACUUUUGGUUAGCCACAUACAAUUCCUUUUGUAUGAGAGAAUGGUAUAAAUAAAUUCAGUUAAAACACAUCCA